rnacentral:rRNA from 1 species
AGAACGAACGCUGGCGGCAUGCCUAACACAUGCAAGUCGAACGGGACCUUCGGGUCUAGUGGCGCACGGGUGCGUAACGCGUGGGGAUCUGCCCUUAGGUACGGAAUAACUCAGGGAAACUUGAGCUAAUACCGUAUAAUGACUUCGGUCCAAAGAUUUAUCGCCUAGGGAUGAACCCGCGUAGGAUUAGCUUGUUGGUGAGGUAAAGGCUCACCAAGGCGACGACCCUUAGCUGGUCUGAGAGGAUGAUCAGCCACACUGGGACUGAGACACGGCCCAGACUCCUACGGGAGGCAGCAGUGGGGAAUAUUGGACAAUGGGCGAAAGCCUGAUCCAGCAAUGCCGCGUGAGUGAUGAAGGCCUUAGGGUUGUAAAGCUCUUUACCCGGAUGAUAAUGACAGUACCGGAGAAUAAGCUCCGGCUAACUCCGUGCCAGCAGCCGC